rnacentral:misc_RNA from 1 species
CUCUCUCUGCCUUAUUUACUCACUCUCUCUCCGCCUUAUCUACUCACUCUCUAUCUCGCUCUAUCUCACUCUCUCUCACUCUCCACCAUUACAUCAGGUCGACAUCAUUCUGAUUAUUUCUGACAUCGAAGUGUCUAAGACAGACUCAUAGGAUGACAACAUACCAGGAGUACAUUCAACAGAAUGAAGACAGGGAUGGCAUUCGUUUCAGCUGGAAUGUGUGGCCAUCCAGUCGGUUAGAAGCUACACGAAUGGUUGUACCACUUGGCUCCCUUUUCACACCACUGAAAGAACGGGUUGAUUUACCCCCACUGCAGUAUGACCCCAUACUCUGCUCACGACAGACAUGCAGAGCCGUACUGAACCCCUUCUGCCAGGUUGAUUAUCGUGCUAAGCUUUGGUCCUGUAAUUUUUGCUACCAGAGAAAUCAGUUUCCCCAGCAGUAUUCUGCUAUAUCAGAACAACAUCAACCUGCAGAAAUAAUUCCUCAGUUUUCUACAGUGGAAUAUAUUAUUGCUCGAGCCACUUGUCACCCUCCAGUCUACCUUAUAGUUCUGGAUACAUGUAUGGAAGAUGAAGAUCUUCAAGCUGUCAAGGAAUCUUUGCAAAUGUCUCUGAGUUUACUUCCUCCCAAUGCACUCAUUGGUCUCAUAACAUUUGGUAAAAUGGUACAGGUCCAUGAGUUAGGUUGUGAAGGCUGUUCUAAAAGCUAUGUAUUCCGUGGAACUAAAGAUCUUUCAGCAAAACAAAUACAGGAAAUGCUUGGCAUUGGCCGUGCUGUGAAUCCACAAGCUCGCCAGGCACACACCCCACAAGGUCCUCAGCAACAUUAUCAGUUGCCAGCCAACAGGUUUUUGCAACCAGUACAUCGAUGUGAUAUGAGCCUAACUGAUCUUCUUGGUGAACUCCAGCGUGAUCCUUGGCCAGUUUCUCAAGGAAAGAGACCCUUACGCUCUACUGGUGUAGCACUCUCAAUAGCUGUUGGACUUUUGGAGUGCACCUACCCAAACACUGGUGCUAGAAUAAUGCUGUUUAUUGGUGGACCUUGCACUCAAGGACCAGGUAUGGUUGUAGGAGACGAGCUAAAGAACCCAAUUAGAUCACAUCACGACAUUGAAAAAGAUAGCUGUAAAUAUAUGAAGAAAGCAAUGAAGCACUAUGAGAGCCUGGCAAACAGAGCUGCCAAUAAUGGUCAUGUUAUAGAUGUCUAUUCCUGUGCUCUUGAUCAAACUGGUCUACAUGAAAUGAAGUUUUGUCCAAACUUCUCAGGAGGUCACAUGGUUAUGGGUGAUUCAUUCAACACAUCUUUGUUCAAACAAACCUUCCAACGUGUAUUUUCUAAGGAUAUGAAAGGAGAAUUCAAGAUGGGUUUUGGUGCAACACUUGAAGUCAAGACUUCACGUGAAUUGAAAGUUUCAGGUGCCAUAGGUUCCUGUGUAUCUCUUGGUACCAAGAGUCAGUGUGUCUCAGACACUGAACUUGGAAUGGGUGGUACAUGUCAAUGGAAGAUGUGUGGCUUAUACCCUAACUCAACUAUAGCUAUAUUCUUUGAAGUUGUCAAUCAGCACAAUGCCCCAAUUCCUCAAGGUGGCCGAGGUUAUAUCCAAUAUAUCAGCCAAUACCAACAUUCUUCUGGACAGAGAAGAGUACGAGUGACAACAGUCGCACGCAACUGGGCUGAUGCCACCACCAAUAUACAACACAUCUCUGCUGGCUUUGACCAAGAAGCUGCGGCUGUCUUAAUGGCUAGAGUUGCUAUCUUCAGAGCUGAGACUGAUGAUGGACCUGACGUGCUUAGAUGGCUCGAUCGAAUGUUAAUUAGAUUGUGUCAAAAAUUUGGAGAUUAUCAUAAGGAAGAUCCAAAUUCUUUCCGUUUCACUCCUAACUUCUCGCUCUAUCCUCAAUUCAUGUUCCACCUGCGAAGAUCGCAAUUCUUGCAAGUAUUUAACAACAGUCCAGAUGAGACCACAUACUACAGACAUAUGCUCAACCGAGAAGACCUAACUCAGUCCCUAAUCAUGAUUCAACCAAUUCUCUAUGCGUAUUCCUUCAAUGGAACCCCAGAACCUGUUUUACUGGACACAAGCAGUAUUAUGGCGGACAGAAUUCUGCUGAUGGACACUUUUUUCCAUAUUGUUAUUUAUCACGGAGAGACAAUUGCUCUUUGGCGUAAGCAAGGCUAUCAAAGUCAGCCCGAAUAUGAAAAUUUCAAGCAGCUGUUACAAGCUCCUGUCGAUGAUGCACAGGAAAUUCUGCAGACCAGAUUCCCUAUGCCCAGGUACAUAGACACAGAGGCUGGUGGUUCUCAGGCUCGUUUCCUCUUAUCCAAAGUAAACCCUUCACAGACACACAACAAUCUCUAUGCCUGGGGACAAACCCAAAUAUUCAGCGAGGAUAGUGGUGCUCCGGUGUUAACUGAUGAUGUUAGUCUUCAAGUCUUCAUGGAACAUUUGAAAAAAUUGGCCGUCUCCAGUUCCUCCUGAUUACAAUAAGUUAUUAGCCCCAUAUAUUGUUAUUAGAAUCUUAUCUGAUUUAAACAAAUCCUUGUUUUUGGAAACAGUGUGGUGGCAGUGAUGGAG